rnacentral:rRNA from 1 species
CAGCAGUCGCCACGGUAAUACGUAGGGUGCGAGCGUUAAUCGGAAUUACUGGGCGUAAAGCGUGCGCAGGCGGUUCGUUAAGACAGAUGUGAAAUCCCCGGGCUUAACCUGGGAACUGCAUUUGUGACUGGCGAGCUAGAGUAUGGCAGAGGGGGAUGGAAUUCCGCGUGUAGCAGUGAAAUGCGUAGAUAUGCGGAGGAGCACCGAUGGCGAAGGCAAUCCCCUGGACCUGUACUGACGCUCAUGCACGAAAGCGUGGGGAGCAAACAGGAUUAGAUACCCCCGUAGUCCCUGUCUCUUAUAC